CGAUUGCAAACAAAAAUUAAUGCGUGUUACUUCGUAAUUGCAACAGCGAUUUGUAUCUGGUAGAUGAGAAUAUUGCCGUUUGGUGCAGAAGAAACUCACUGACUCCGUGACAGAGUGUGUCCGCCUCGGGCUGGUUCAACUUUGAUUUGAGUUUUAUUAUGAGUGACCGAGACCUAUUCACAACUGAUUCAGAGCCUGACAGUGAUUCAUCAACGGAAAGGAAUACUGCUGCCGCCUCGUGUUACAUUGUUGGUUCAUAUGUGAAGAUUUCAGAUUCGAAUGAGGUACUACAGUCUUCUGGUUCCGAAACUCAGCCGCCGUCUCCAGAUCAAGGGGAUCAACCACCAUACUCUAGCUCUGAA